rnacentral:lncRNA from 1 species
GUGUGACUUUUUCAGAAGGUGAGUUACGCGUUCCGGGCAGUCAGUGCACUGCUCAGCAGGAGGAGGUCCUGCAGGUGGUGCUGCAAGGGGUCGGCUGGCCGCAGGGGGACUGCACAGACACAGGCUGGCAGCAGGUGGUGGCUCAGCAGGAGGAGGUCCUGCAGGUGGUGCUGCAAGGGGUCGGCUGGCCGCAGGGAGGCCGGCAGCAGGGGGACUGCACAGACACAGGCUGGCAGCAGGAGGAGGUCCUGCAGGUGGUGCUGCAAGGGGUCGGCUGGCCGCAGGGGGGCCGGCAGCAGGGGGACUGCACAGACACAGGCUGGCAGCAGGUGGUGGCCCAGCAGCAGGGCCUGCACACC